AUUACAGUGCCGAAGGUUCAGCUUUGCGUCAUGCUCGCAUGUAAGCAAAGAUGGAACUUUACGGCACGCCCCACAAUGAGGAAGUAGAGAUGCGAAGCGUCUCGGAUUCUGAAUGUGGGUAGAAUCGCGGGAGCUGCUGUGCAGCGUAGCGAUUCGU
rnacentral:sRNA from 1 species